rnacentral:rRNA from 1 species
CGGCUAACUCCGUGCCAGCAGCCGCGGUAAUACGGAGGAUCCAAGCGUUAUCCGGAAUCAUUGGGUUUAAAGGGUCCGCAGGCGGUUGUUUAAGUCAGAGGUGAAAGUUUGCAGCUCAACUGUAAAAUUGCCUUUGAUACUGAAUAACUUGAGUUAUAAUGAAGUGGUUAGAAUAUGUAGUGUAGCGGUGAAAUGCAUAGAUAUUACAUAGAAUACCGAUUGCGAAGGCAGAUCACUAAUUAUAUACUGACGCUGAGGGACGAAAGCGUGGGGAGCGAACAGG